UACGUAGGCAGCAAGCGUUGUUCGGAAUUACUGGGCGUAAAGAGUGUGUAGGCGGUGCACUAAGUUUGUCGUGAAAUCUCCCGGCUUAACUGGGAGGGUGCGGCGAAUACUGGUGUGCUCGAGGGUGGGAGAGGUAAGCGGAAUUCCUGGUGUAGCGGUGAAAUGCGUAGAUAUCAGGAGGAACACCUGUGGUGUAGACAGCUUACUGGACCACUUCUGACGCUGAGACACGAAAGCGUGGGUAGCAAACAGG
rnacentral:rRNA from 1 species